AAGUUAUCGUCUUCGGCAGCGAGUAACGCAUGAAUAAAGUUUUUAGGAAUGUCAUCAAAGGCGAUAGGGGAUCGUCGCAUUUCUCCAAACUCAGCGAUUAACUUUGCAUCGCUGCUAUAGACCCGUAAAGGAAUCUGUAGUUCUAUACUGCGUAAUGAUUCAACAGAAGGCAGGUUGGGGCUGAGGUAUAGAAAAGCGCCGCUCAGACCCAGUGCUAUGCUACAAAUAAUGGCAACCAGUGUUGCGAAGAGGAAUUUCAGCAAGUGCAUCAAGGCUAUUGGAUUCCCAAAU
rnacentral:antisense_RNA from 1 species